rnacentral:rRNA from 1 species
CCUACGGGUGGCAGCAGCGGGGAAUAUUGGACAAUGGGCGAAAGCCUGAUCCAGCCAUGCCGCGUGUGUGAAGAAGGCCUUCGGGUUGUAAAGCACUUUCAGUGGGGAAGAAAGCCUUGGGGCUAAUACCCUCGAGGAAGGACAUCACCCACAGAAGAAGCACCGGCUAACUCCGUGCCAGCAGCCGCGGUAAUACGGAGGGUGCGAGCGUUAAUCGGAAUUACUGGGCGUAAAGCGCGCGUAGGCGGUCUGAUAAGCCGGUUGUGAAAGCCCCGGGCUCAACCUGGGAACGGCAUCCGGAACUGUCAGGCUAGAGUGCAGGAGAGGAAGGUAGAAUUCCCGGUGUAGCGGUGAAAUGCGUAGAGAUCGGGAGGAAUACCAGUGGCGAAGGCGGCCUUCUGGACUGACACUGACGCUGAGGUGCGAAAGCGUGGGUAGCAAACAGGAUUAGAUACCCUUGUAGUC